UUACCUAGUGAGGUCCACUUUAAGCCUAAUCACUAUUUUAUUUUUGUGUGGCAUGCACUCAUAGCAAUUGAAACUCUAGAACUUGCUUAUUUUCUUUUCAAAGUCACAAUAGCAUAUGUGUGCAUGGUGAUAGAGGAUAUUUGUCAUUUUGCUCCAACAUAUUUUCCAUUUCCUUCUCCACAAUUUUCUUGAAACAUUUUCAUCUAGCAUUCUUAUUCUUGAUCUUCUUUGCUUGUCAUUCAUUUCAAUGAGAGUUUUGGGUGAUUAGCUUGAUGAGUGAUUGACUAGAUGGACAAAGGAUAAAGUGUGGGGGAGGUGUAUGAAUUCUGUACAAUCCGGAAAUGGAUCAAGAAUAUUUGGAAGAGGACUGCUGUUGCUGUUCAGAGAGUCUUUACGAAGCUGAAAUUUCUGAAGCUGUAACUAAAUAUCAUUGCAAUCUCUGAUAAUAAUGAUUUCAAUCAGAUUGUUGAGUUUUGAUUGCAAGAGCUGUGUGAACAGAUUAAUUAAGUUGUUAUUUUUCUUUAUUAUGCAAGAGAGCAGUUACCAGAAAGAAAUUUAUUUCUGCAGUAAUAAAAUUCUGAAAGAAUUUCAAGUUGUUUCAAUUCAUGAAUGGAUUUUGAGCUCAACCAAUUAGUGGAGCAUCUGGAGCAGCAAUAAUUUGAAUUCUAAUUCAUAACUCUCUAUUAAUCAAGCUGUUGUUACCUUGAAUUCCAAAAACAGGAAAAUGUUAAAAUGGAAAUCUGGAAAACUGAAUUGUUUGAGUAACAAAAAUCUGUUUGCAAGUUUUAACCUGAAUUUCUUUAAGAUUUAAUUUCUGGAAUUGAAGCUGUGAAUUGCAUAACAGAAUUUGAUUCCAGCUGUUGAAACCGUAGGGAAGGUAUUCAGUAAGUAUUGUUUCAGUUGGGACAUUUUAGCUAAGAAUUGGUAGACAUUAUCAGUGGUUAUCUUCUUUACAGAAUUAGUUGCAGCAAUUAUUUCUUUAAAAUCCUGUUUUGUGCCAACUUUCCUUUAAAUUUUCUGGGCAGCAAUGGGUACUGUAAACAGUGAGGUGAUAAUGCUGGAAAAAUGAUGCAGUUUUAUGUGGUAUCAAGAUGCAGAGCACCAUUCUGGUGGUAUCAAAUGGCUGGAUUUUGAAGUUGCAGUAAUUUUCUAAUUGAUGUAUGAGCUGAGACAAGAUGGGAAUUCAAGCUGUAAUGUGAUUCAAUUAUUGUUAAGUUCAUUGGGAAUGAAUUGUUGAAGCUUUGGUAGAUCAUGCAAAUUCCAGACUCGAGCACCAUAAUCUGAUACUGAAUUAUGGAAAUCAGAAUUCAGUUUGAGAUUGUUAUCAGAAACUAGAAGAAUCAAGUUCUGGAAAUAGAAGAUUUGGAAAUGCAGAAACAAUGAACUCUUGUAGCCGCUGGAGAUAGCAUUUUAAAAAUUUCUUGGAGGCCAUGUCAGUGCAACUGACACUUGGUGCAAAAUAGAUCAGACUAAUGCAUUUUCAGCAGUACUUCUGAGGUUUAAAUGCAAAGAAUUUCUAUGAUACAAAUGGAACAAGUGAAGUUGGUGGAGAAUAUGCUAUGUACAGAAUUAAAUAGAAGUGUUGAGCUUUCUGGAUUAAAAUUUGAAUCAACAUGAAUCCUGGAAUUGUAGCUAAAUCAAUCUGCUGUAAGUGAACAAAAGUGUGGAGCUGAGUCUUUAAUCAGAAAUGCAGAAAUGGAGAUUGGAAAUGGAUUUGGAAAUGUUGAAAUUGUAUCCUGUUUAGUGCAAAAUAUGUGUGCUGAUUCUGAUCAGUAGCAACUGCAAUUCAAUUUCUUAUUCAUUUUAUGCUAAAUGGAACAGAACUGCAUAAGCUGAGAAAUCAGUUUCAAAUGCUGGAAAUUCUGAAGUUGAUUUGUGCAUGUUUUUGAUUCAAUGGAAGAUUCAAGCAAAGGCUAGUGUAUGAACUUGCUGGAAAUGUAGUGUUGUAUGUGCAGGAAUUGGUAGCUGCAUUUCAAUGCUGAAAUCUGUUAUGCAUUGCUGGAAGUUUUUGAAACCUCUUUGUACUUGAGUGAUAUUAUGUGCUGAAAUUUCAGAAUUGGUUUCUGAAGUUCUAUUAAAUUUAAACAGAAAUUUACUUCUAUGUAAAGUGGAACCACCUUUUAAGAGGUUGCGGGAACAAGUGCUAGUACAAGUGCAGAUUAGUCUAAUGGAUCCAGAAUCUGAAUUUAGAAUUGCAGGAAUUCUCUGAAAUGAAUCGGAAGUCUUAAACUAUAAACCUUUUGGCAGCUGAAAUCCAUAGAAUUCUUGCUGAAUUGGAUCUGAAAUGCAGUAAAUUACAGAUGCAGAAACAAGAAUAUGAGGCUACAGUAACAGAAUUUGAAAUGCUUGGAAUUGUUUUGAAUCAAUGUUGUAUCAUAAUUCAGGAACAACCUUAAAACCAAUGUGAAACUCAAGUUAGUGUUUCUAUUGUGCUGAAAGAAAUGGUAUUCUACCUUCCAUGGCAUCAACAAAAUAAAAAAAAAAUGAAAGUCAGAAACUUUUUCUAGACACAGAAAUGCAGAAACAAGAUAUUUUUGGUAGUUACUGAAAUUUGACUUAAAUGGACCAUAAUUCGGAAUUAAAUUGGUGGGUAACAUUUCAUCAGUGAAGCAUUUGAGCAUUGCGUCAAUUACUCUGAAAAGUUGAAGAAAAGGGUAGCACUUGACACUCAAAACAGUGAGGUUAAAAGCUGGAAACAGAACUCAGUUUAUAUGUGGUAUCAAGUGUGUGCAACUUUUUCAUUAUCAUCCCUUGAAACCCUUGGAGAAUUAAUUAAACCUCUUGAAUUUCCAGCAGCCUUUGUUGUUUAUCUUCCUUCUAUACUUUUCAAACCUGCUGAAUAGAAUUCGGAUGGUAUCAAAAUUGCAGAAUUCUGUUGGGAAGUGGAAUAGCUCACUUAGCUAGAUUUGAUACUGCACUUCACAUCUGCAGGAAUUGGGAAAGCAGAGGAAGGGUUGUCAUUAGUGAGCUAUUGGAGAGACUGGAGCAAUGACAGGAAGCACAAAUUGACAAGAAUUAAGAAACAGAAAUGGAUAGGAAUGAGCAGAGUGCAGGAAAUCAGGAAUUUGGCAUUUCUGUGCCAAAUGGAAAAUGAAUUGUAAUGAGCUGUAUUGCUGGAAAGUGGGAAUUCUGCAGAGAAAUGGAAGAGGCAUUUCUGUGGUUGGAGUUGUUUGUGAUGUGGAAAAGUGGGGCUGCUGUGUGCCAGAUCAUUUUACAAUUUCUUCACCAGAAUAGAAACAAACUUCUUGAACUCCUUUGAAGCUGCUUAACCACUUAAAUCUGAACUUUUCUGCUGCAUUGGUGUGAAUUCUGCAGAGAUUAUCUUGAAUCUGAAUUCAAAUAACAAGUUCUGAAUUGUAUACAUGUUGCUAAAGACAUUGUUUCUGCAUUUCAGUGUCUGAAAUCAGAUUCAUAGAAGUAUUACAGAAUUUUGAUUCUUCACAGUUUUAGAAAUUCCUUAAAUCAAUUAUAAGCUGGAAUUAGUUCCCUACCUUUGCUGCUAAUGAAAGAGCUUGAGUUGGUAUUCUUAUGAGUUUCAAUUCUAGACUGCAGUAGGAGUAAAUCAUGAUUGCUGAAACUGCAAUGGUGUUGGAAUUGCAGUACAGAAUUCUGUCGUUGUGCUACUUCUAAGGAAGAAUACAAGAUAUUUGAAUAUCAGUUUUAUUCUGAAUUUGAAAUGCAGAAUUCAGAAAUGCCUUGUCCAAGCUUAUGCCAUUAGCAGGAACUUGCUAUCAUUAUAUGUUUUGUUCCUUCUUUUCCGAGCUCACCUUGAAUCGAGAUAUGCAACUCCAAUAGAUUGACUUUCUUAAACUAUUCAGUUUUACAAGAAAUUUGGAAAGUAUGCUUGUUAAGGAAGGUGGUAUUAGGAGUGUUCACUUGCAACAUGAUAGGGAACUAAAUUUAGAUGCAAUGGCUGCAGAACUUGAGAUUGCUGCCUUAAAAACUGAAACAAAUCUGCAGCUUUGGUUCUGGACUGUUUUUGCAGCAGAAGGAAGUAAAAUUCAAGCUGAAUUUUUUUUUUGUGCCAUUGUAGGAAAAGAGAUUAAGUCUUGCAGCCAGUCAAAUUGGUAGAAGAAGAUGUUAAGAUAAAAGAAGUUAGCAUCUAGAGUUGAAACUGCAACCUGAUUUGAAGGCUGACCAGUUUUGUGCCAAUGGUGUGCUAAUUCUUCCAUGUGAUUCUCAAAUUAGUGAGAAACUCAAGUAGAGUUGUUGCGUUCUCAGUGAAAAUUAUCUGACAUUUGCAAUGAAUUAAAAAUCUUGAAUGGGAUGAGUUCUGGAAAUUGAAGACUAAACUUGGAAAUGCAGAAAUGUAUUAGUGUUGUGCCAAGCUUAGAUCUGUUCCUUGAAUUUGGUUCUCCAUCUGCGUGGACAUAAGGGCAGCCUGCUGAAAUCAUUUUCUGAAUUUGGUAACUGAGUUCACAGUUCUAGAAUUUAAUUCUGAAUCCUUCUAAACUGAAUUUCAAUUCUAAUUGUAGUUCUCAAGCAAAGUGGGAAGGUUAAUUGCUCAUUUCUUGCACUGCAGUUCAGCUUGAAAAAUUCCAGGUUCUACAUCCAUGGAAAUGCAUGCUCUAUAUCCUGAUACUGGUCCUUAUGUAGCCUUAAGAAACUUCACAGAUUUAAAUUGAUUCUUUACUGCAUUUCAGCAAUUCUACAAUUAAGUUCAGAAACUAGUUUCAUUAAUCAGAUUCUGUUUAUAAUGAAUUCGAGUCUGAAAAAU